CAAACUUGGUCAUUUAGAGGAAGUAAAAGUCGUAACAAGGUUUCCGUAGGUGAACCUGCGGAAGGAUCAUUACCAAAAACAAAAUAAACUAAGCGUUCCCGCUCACGAGAGGCUUCAAAACUUUAAACUGAGCACGCGUUAUGUUUGCGUGAAGAAACAUACGUCCCCGUUAUCCGUCCUGGAGUCGGUGGUAUUUCUGCACGGGUUGCCCGUGCANGUAGCCCUCAGGCCGGUGUGUGGUGCCGUAAUAUUCCCACUACCCUAUGUUUACCUACCUUUGUUGCUUUGGCGGGCCGCGGNCCUCCGCUGCGGGCUCACGNUCNCACNGUGCCCGCCAGAGGACCCAACUCUUGAUUUUAGUGAUGUCUGAGUACUAUUAAAUAGUUAAAACUUUCAACAACGGAUCUCUUGGUUCUGGCAUCGAUGAAGAACGCAGCGAAAUGCGAUAAGUAAUGUGAAUUGCAGAAUUCAGUGAAUCAUCGAAUCUUUGAACGCACAUUGCNCCCGCUGGUAUUCCGGCGGGCAUGCCUGUUCGAGCGUCAUUAUGACCAACUCACGCUCCGCGUGGUCUUGGGGUCCGCUGUCACGGCGGUCCCUAAACGCAGUGGCGGUGCCGUGCGGCUCUCAGCGUAGUAAUUUAUCUCGCUACAGGGUCCGGACGGUGCUGGCCAGCAACCCCAACUUCUUUAGGUUGANCUCGGAUCAGGUANGGAUACCCGCUGNACUUAAGCAUAUCNAUAAGCGGAGGAAAAGAAACCAACAGGGANUACCUCAGUAACGGCGAGUGAAGCGGUAACAGCUCAAAUUUGAAAUCUGGCUCUUUCAGGGUCCGAGUUGUAAUUUGUAGAAGAUGCUUCGAGUGUGGUCCCGGUCUAAGUUCCUUGGAACAGGACGUCAUAGAGGGUGAGAAUCCCGUAUGCGACUGGGUGCCUUCGCUCAUGUGAAGCUCUUUCGACGAGUCGAGUUGUUUGGGAAUGCAGCUCAAAAUGGGUGGUAAAUUUCAUCUAAAGCUAAAUAUUGGCCAGAGACCGAUAGCGCACAAGUAGAGUGAUCGAAAGAUGAAAAGCACUUUGGAAAGAGAGUUAAACAGUACGUGAAAUUGUUGAAAGGGAAGCGCUUGCAACCAGACUUGCCCGCCGUCGAUCAUCCGGGGUUCUCCCCGGUGCACUCGGCGGCGUUCAGGCCAGCAUCGGUUUCGGUGGUGGGAUAAAGGCCUUGGGAAUGUAGCUUCUUUCGGGGAGUGUUAUAGCCCUCGGUGCAAUGCCGCCUACCGGGACCGAGGACCGCGCUUCGGCUAGGAUGCUGGCGUAAUGGUUGUAAGCGUCCCGUCUUGAAACACGGACC
rnacentral:rRNA from 1 species